rnacentral:rRNA from 1 species
AGGGUUUGAUCAUGGCUCAGGAUGAACGCUAGCGGCAGGCUUAACACAUGCAAGUCGAGGGGUAGAAGGUGCUUGCACCUUUGAGACCGGCGCACGGGUGCGUAACGCGUAUGCAAUCUGCCUUGUACUGGGGAAUAGCCCGGAGAAAUCCGGAUUAAUGCCCCAUGGUAUUUUUGUGUGGCAUCACACGAUUAUUAAAGAUUUAUCGGUACAAGAUGAGCAUGCGUCCCAUUAGUUAGUUGGUGUGGCAACGGCACACCAAGACGAUGAUGGGUAGGGGUCCUGAGAGGGAGAUCCCCCACACUGGUACUGAGACACGGACCAGACUCCUACGGGAGGCAGCAGUGAGGAAUAUUGGUCAAUGGGCGCAAGCCUGAACCAGCCAUGCCGCGUGCAGGAUGACGGCCCUAUGGGUUGUAAACUGCUUUUAUACGGGAAGAAACACUCCUUCGUGAAGGAGCUUGACGGUACCGUAAGAAUAAGGAUCGGCUAACUCCGUGCCAGCAGCCGCGGUAAUACGGAGGAUCCAAGCGUUAUCCGGAAUCAUUGGGUUUAAAGGGUCCGUAGGCGGCUUUGUAAGUCAGUGGUGAAAUCCGGCAGCUUAACUGUCGAACUGCCAUUGAUACUGCAGAGCUUGAAUAAUUGGGAAGUAACUAGAAUAUGUAGUGUAGCGGUGAAAUGCUUAGAUAUUACAUGGAAUACCGAUUGCGAAGGCAGGUUACUACCAAUUCAUUGACGCUGAUGGACGAAAGCGUGGGGAGCGAACAGGAUUAGAUACCCUGGUAGUCCACGCCGUAAACGAUGGAUACUAGCUGUUGGGUCGCAAGACUCAGUGGCUAAGCGAAAGUGAUAAGUAU